rnacentral:rRNA from 1 species
CGGGACACGUGGUAUCCUGUCUGAAUAUGGGGGGACCAUCCUCCAAGGCUAAAUACUCCUGACUGACCGAUAGUGAACCAGUACCGUGAGGGAAAGGCGAAAAGAACCCCGGCGAGGGGAGUGAAAAAGAACCUGAAACCGUGUACGUACAAGCAGUGGGAGCACGCUUAGGCGUGUGACUGCGUACCUUUUGUAUAAUGGGUCAGCGACUUAUAUUCUGUAGCAAGGUUAACCGAAUAGGGGAGCCGAAGGGAAACCGAGUCUUAACUGGGCGUUAAGUUGCAGGGUAUAGACCCGAAACCCGGUGAUCUAGCCAUGGGCAGGUUGAAGGUUGGGUAACACUAACUGGAGGACCGAACCGACUAAUGUUGAAAAAUUAGCGGAUGACUUGUGGCUGGGGGUGAAAGGCCAAUCAAACCGGGAGAUAGCUGGUUCUCCCCGAAAGCUAUUUAGGUAGCGCCUCGUGAAUUCAUCUCCGGGGGUAGAGCACUGUUUCGGCA